GAACUUGGAACCUUCUGCUCUUCCCAGAGCGGCUCCAUCCCCUAAGGGGAAUAUCUUACACUGCUCACACAUUUAGUCUCCCAUUCAUUUGCAACCAGGGCAGACCCUGCUUAGCUAGGGGGACAAGUCAUGCUUGAUAUCACAAGACCAGCUCAUGUAACUAAGCUGUGGAAUUCACUGAUGGCUACCAAUAUAGGUGGUCUUUAAAAAGGGUUAGACAAAUUCAUGGAGAAUACAGCUAUCAUCUGCAGGUGGGGCUGAGAGAGACUCCUGCCUGUAACCUUGGAGAACCCACUGCCAGUCUGUGUGGACAAUACUGAACUAGAUGGACCAACUCUCUUGACUCAGUAGAGGUCAGCUUCCUAUAUCUGUAUACUUCCAACAGGAUCUGAUGAUGUGCAAACCGGCUCAACCUCGAACCCCUUGAAUGGACAGGUCAUGACCCCGGUUGUGACCCUGCCAUGCAAAUGGCCGGGGUGCAUGUGCAACGGCCUCCAAAAUGGGGCACACACGCCCACCCCAAGGCCUCUGGAGCUGAUGCUAUUCUAGUCCGGUUGUAAAUCUGUGGGCAGGGGCUGUGGGCUUUGGAGCACAGGAAACUGCUUUACAGCGAGUCAGACCCUUGGUCCAUCUGACUCAGUAUUGUCUACACUGACUGGCAGCAGUUCUCCAAGGUUUCAGAAUUGAUAAUUAAGACAUUGAAGUGGUGGAUAGCUUCUGCCUUUUAGGACUGACCAUCAACAGUCAAGGAUCCAGCAGUCCAGAAAUACACCGCAGACUAGCACUUGGUAGGGUUGCAAUGAAGGCCUUGGAAAGGAUAUUUAGAUGCCGUGACGUGUCUAUACCUACAAAGAUUAGAAUCGAGACAAUGGUUUUUCCCAUGACACUCUAUGGAUGUGAAAGCUGGACUUUGAAGAAGCAAGACAGAAAAAGCAUUGACGCUUUUGAACUUUGGUGCUGGAUAAGACUUUUGAGGAUACCAUGGACAGCCAGGAAAACAAAUCAAUGGAUCAUGGAAAAAAAUCAAUCCAGAAUUUUCACUCGAGGCACAAAUGACCAGGCUCAAACUAUCCUACUUCAGACACAUUAUGCGAAGACCCAGCUCCCUUGAGAAGUCCAUAAUGCUGGGGAAAGUGGAAGGAAAGAGAAGAAGAGGACGGCCAGCAGCAAGGUGGAUGGACUCGAUUAUGACAGCAAUGAAGGCACCACUGCGAGACCUUCAAGGCCAAGUGGAAAAUGGAUCAUCCUGGAGAGAAUCUCUCUAUGUGGUCACUAAGAGCUGACACCAACUGACUACAGCUCCCAUCUUUCUCAGGUGCAAUGGCCUUUGGCUGGGAAUUAUGGGAGUUGUAGCCAACAAAAUCAGAGAACACCUGUUACAAGGAAUACUGGUCAUAACAUAGCCCUUCUGCAAGCAGAACUCACCUUCUGCAUAUGGAAGAACACCCUUAACCCCAACCCUUAGUCUUAGAGGUGCCAUAAGCUUUUUUCUUGUUUGGGGCAUAUAUUUAUAUUUAUGUUUAUAUAAGUUGCAUACUCAGCAGCUACUUUUGUUCAUAUUGCUCACAUUGUUAGACUCCCGAAAUAUCAAGUGGUCUUGUUGGGUGUUAUACAAAUGCUCUUCUUUCUGCCAUAUGAGCAUGUUUGCAGUACAAAAAUGGGAAGCCUAAAUUGUAAUCUUAUUUUAUAUGCUUGAAUUAAUUUCUGAUCUUAUUUUGAACACAGUGACAUGUGUUGUGCCUUUGUGUUUGCAUCUUUAGUUUAUGCAUAUACACGGCAGUGAAAGCUAGCAGAUAAAUUGGAUUUGGAUGUAA